AUUGAACGCUGGCGGCGUGGAUUAGGCAUGCAAGUCGCGCGAGAAAUUUCCUUCGGGAGAUGGAAAGCGGCGAAAGGGAGAGGAAUAAGUAGAAAUCUGCCCUCGGGACGGGGAUAGCGGCGGGAAACUGCCGGUAAUACCCGAUAACAUCUUCGGAUCAAAUGGUGUGAUUCCGCCUGGGGAUGAGUCUACUUCCUAUUGGCUAGUAGGCGGGGUAAUGGCCCACCAAGGCAACGAUGGGUAGCGGGUGUGAGAGCACGAUCCGCCUCACUGGGACUGAGACACUGCCCAGACACCUACGGGUGGCUGCAGUCGAGAAUCUUCGGCAAUGGGGGAAACCCUGACCGAGCGACGCCGCGUGCGGGAUGAAGGCCCUCGGGUUGUAAACCGCUGUCGUAAGGGAACAAAUCUAUGAGGGUACUCUCUCAUAGUUGAGUGAUCUUAGGAGGAAGGACGGGCUAAGUUCGUGCCAGCAGCCGCGGUAACAC
rnacentral:rRNA from 1 species